ACAGUACAUUAUAUCAACGUGCCAACAGUACAUUAUAUUAACGUGCCAACAGUACGUUAUAUUAACGUGCCAACAGUACAUUAUAUUAACGUGCCAACAGUACAUUAUAUUAACGUGCCAACAGUACAAUAAAUAUAUUAACAGUGCCAACAGUACACUUUAACACAUGUCCAUCAAGAUGAAUGAGUAUGUAUUAAACAAGAGGAAAAUAACAUAUGUGUAUAGCCAAAGAGUUUGUAUACGUCCUAUUUUUUUACACUCCAGAAGUUAAGUUUCGAAUAUCACAGAAGGAUUCCAAAGCCCCAAUGAAAUGUUUCACAUCAAAACUGUGGUUACAUUUUCUUCUUGCGUUCCCUUGUUAUCAUUCUUUUCGUUCUCAUGUUCUUUUCUAUGUCUUCUCGUCUCUGAUGGGGCCAUAAAUAAAUGGUCGGCAUACAUUUCCAAAAUAUGAUAACAAAAGGUUACAUUCAUCAGAAAACUUUCUGCAGUGGAUUCAGGCGAAAUCGGUUGAAAUCAGCUUCUUUUCCAUUGGUUCAGCUCCUAAUGCGUGUCAGCAUGGAAAACAUUAGUCCAGAACAAGUAUGUCACAAAGGGUCCUAUGAUUCAAAGAAAUGGCACACAGUCACAAAAAGCUCCAGGUCACAUCCUUGCUGUUAUUUCUUUUUCAUAUCGAUGAGAUACACAUAACCAUCCCCCGAGGUUCUGUAGUUGGACAAUUUGUGAUCGUUGUGUGGAUGGUUAUCGGGAAGCUUGCUGAGGAGUUUAUCCUCUUUCAUUGCAGGGUUCUGGGACGGAGCAUAG